rnacentral:rRNA from 1 species
AACGAACGCUGGCGGCAGGCUUAACACAUGCAAGUCGAACGAGACCUUCGGAUCUAGUGGCAGACGGGUGAGGAACACGUGGGAACAUCCCUUUCAGUUCGGAAUAACGUUGGGAAACUAACGCUAAUACCGGAUACGUCCUUCGGGAGAAAGAUUUAUCGCUGAAAGAUUGGCCCGCGUCUGAUUAGCUAGUUGGUGAGGUAACGGCUCACCAAGGCUACGAUCAGUAGCUGAUCUGAGAGGAUGAUCAGCCACAUUGGGACUGAGACACGGCCCAAACUCCUACGGGAGGCAGCAGUGGGGAAUAUUGGACAGUGGGCGCAAGCCUGAUCCAGCCAUGCCGCGUGAGUGAUGACGGCCUUCGGGUUGUAAAGCUCUUUUGUCCGGGAAGAUAAUGACUGUACCGGAAGAAUAAGCCCCGGCAAACUUCGUGCCAGCCGCCGCGGUAA